GAGAGUUAAACAGUAUGUGAAAUUGUUGAAAGGGAAACGAUUGAAGCCAGUCGUACCUUCGGGUAAUCAGCCUUUCGGGUGCGAUUCUGUGGAGUUUGAGGAGCUUAACACCUUCAUGCUUUGCAUAUUCGUGCUCUUGGGUGUACUUGCUCGUAUGGUUGGUUAACAUCAAUUUUGGUGGUCAUAAAAUGACUGGAGGAAUGUAGCUUCGAUCUCGUAUUGAAGUGUUAUAGCCUUCGGUAGAUGUGAUGACUGAGAUUGAGGAUUGCAACGGAUACCCUUCGGGGCUACCUGUCUGAUCUCUGAUCGUUGCUCUGGUGCCGAAAGCUUGCUUACGGUUGUCAAAGUCGAUGGUCAAUAGGUUAGAAUGGGUUAAAUUCGUUAAGGAUGUUGACGUAAUGGCUUUAAACGA
rnacentral:rRNA from 1 species